rnacentral:rRNA from 1 species
GACGAACGCUGGCGGCGUGCUUAACACAUGCAAGUCGAACGGAAAGUCCCUGCUUUUGUGGGGUGCUCGAGUGGCGACCGGGUGAGUAACCCGUGAGUAACCUGCCCUUGACUUUGGGAUAACUUCAGGAAACUGGAGCUAAUACCGGAUAGGAGCUCCUGCUGCUUGGUGGGGGUUGGAAAGUUUCGGCGGUUGGGGAUGGACUCGCGGCUUGUCAGCUUGUUGGUGGGGUAGUGGCUUACCAAGGCUUUGACCGGUAGCCGGCCUGAAAGGGUGACCUGCCACACUGGGAUUGAGAUACGGCCCGGACUCCUCCGGGAGGGAGGAGUGGGGAAUAUUGCACAAGGGACGGAACCCUGAUGCAGCAACGCAGCGUGCGGGAUGACGGCCUUCGGGUUGUAAACCGCUGUCGCCUGUGACGAAGCGUGAGUGACGGUAAUGGGUAAAGAAGCACCGGCUAACUACGUG